CUCAAUAGCUGUGGCUUCAGCUUCACCUUCAGACACUACCCGCGAAGCUGCGCAAGGGGAAUUUUCCACUGCCUGGUUCCAUUCAGCUCACGCCACCGCCUGACUGUUUACAGGGAGCAGAAAGGUGCAGGGCCUGCAGGGAGAACUCAGCGAAUGUAGGACUUUAAGACCCCCAAGUUCAGAUUCUACAACGCCCACGGGACCAAGAGCCAACUCCUAGGGUCUAAGCCAGAAACCUACAACUCCAGUGGUGUGCUUCUAGAACCUUCUCGGAUCGCUUCUAAGGUAACAUAAAUCUGAGGGACAGCAACACCCAGCCUGGGUAACUGGAAAGCUGGAGGGUUCUGUAACAGGGAAAUGCUGGUGGGUAGGUAAAAAAGUAAAGAACUAAAAGAGGAAACGGCUUCAGCCUUCUGCACACACCAGUGCUGAAGAGGUGGUUGGGAGGGAUUGUGUCUCCAUUAGGAAGAGAAGUUGUAUGCCAGGAGAGCAAAGACUGGAUUUUGGCCAACCAGAAGAAAGACUGUCUCCCUUAUUGCAUCUCCAGAGCUCUUAAUUCUCCCCUUUCCGUGAGUGUCCCCCACAUACCUCCACACUUAACUGGCAGAAAACAUCAGCCUGAGGAAACCUGAUCUUGUAUGCUGCUAAGUUCUUACUCUAAAAAGCCUAGGCUUCAGUUCCUACCAACAGGGAACCAGAACCUUGAGAGAGGACCUGCAGGGUAGCCACUGACAAAACUGCUAAAUAAGACAAAUCCAUGGGGCUGGAGAGAUGGCUCAGAGGUUAAGGGCACUGGCUACUCUUCCAGAGGUCCUGCGUCCAAUUCCCAGGAACCACAUGGUGGCUCACAACUGUCUGUAACUACAGUUCC